AUUGAACGCUGGCGGCAGGCCUAACACAUGCAAGUCGAACGAGUGGCGGACGGGUGAGUAAUGUCUGUGAAACUGCCUGAUGGAGGGGGAUAACUACUUGAAAAGGUAGCUAAUACCGCAUACCAUCAGAUGUGCCCAGAUGGGCUGAGCUAGUAGGUGGGGGAAAGGCUCACCUAGGCGACGAUCCCUAGCUGGUCUGAGAGGAUGAACAGCCACACUGGAACUGAGAGAAGGGACAGACUCCUCCGGGAGGAAGCAGUGGGGAAGAGUGCACAAUGGGCGCAAGGCUGAGGCAGCCAGGCCGCGUGUAUGAAGAAGGCCUUCGGGUUGUAAAGUACUUUCAGCGGGGAGGCGUUACCCGCAGAAGAAGCACCGGCUAACUCCGUGCCAGCAGCCGCGGGAAUAC
rnacentral:rRNA from 1 species